CCUUUCAGUCUGAAGAAGGGUUUCGGCCCGAAACGUUGCCUAUUUCCUUCACUCCAUAGAUGCUGCUGCACCCGCUGAGUUUCUCCAGCAUUUUUGUGUACCAACUCUACUUUAUGGUUUGGUCCUUCAAGGCAUUAAACAGAAGGGCUUCCGAUAUACCAUAUGUAGAAUCCAGGACCAUGCUGUGAAGCAGAGUUUUGGAAAAUAAUGACAAUCAACUGAACCAUUAUUUUCAGAAAGAAGCACCUAAAUAAGAUGAAUAUUCUCCCAAGAAACAACGGACUUUCAAUUUAUUGCUAGUCAGUAAUAAUAAUACUACUAUUAGGUGUCAUCAAUGUUUAUUAAAGAAUAUGAAUGGGGCCGCCAAUACCUACAGUGCUGUUGUGGAUGUAAAUUUCCAGAACCAUGAAAUUCUUCAUCUAUGUUGUAAUCUUUGAACAUUUAUUGAGGAAAACCCAUGUCUUCCAUGGAAAAAGAAAUACAAUGUUGAUUAUCUAUACGCCAUAGAAAGCAUUUUAUCAGCAUGGUUUGGGAACAGAUCAAUCCAAGACCGCAAGACAGUACAGAGAAUUAUGUACGCAGCCUAGACCAUCCAAGGGCCACCAGUGUUGAAUCUCCUCCCGGCGCAGCCUGGGGACGUCGGGAGCUGCGGACUCCGGUGGGAAGCGGUCGAUUUGGAGGUCUAAGCCGCUGAGGUUGGCCUCCCGUUCCGACGUCGUAGUGCCAACAUCCUGACGAGCGGGCCUGAGCGGCGGGCUGCCCGUAGCAGCGACUGUGGAGGUUUCCGGAUGCCCCGACCACGGGUGAACAUCAGAGGAAGAUGACUGACUUUGGUGCCCUCCCUCGCAGUGGGAAACUUUUGAUUCUGCUGUGUGGGGAUGUUUCAUGUUUGAAGUCCAUCGUGUGUUGUGUACUUUAUUUUAUUGUAUGGCUGUUAUGGUGAUCACAUUUCACUAUGCCAACUGGCACAUGUGACAAAUGAAUGUAUCUUGUAUCUUGUAUCACACAAUCCAUCCUCCAUUCCAUUGACUCCAUUUGCACUUCACGCUGCCUCGGCAAGGCCACCAGCAUAAUCAAGGACGAAUCUCACACUGGUCACUCCCUCUUCUUCCCUCUCUCACCAGGCAACAGGUACAAACAUGUGAAAACGCACACCUCCAGAUUCAGAGAGAGUUUCUUCCCA